rnacentral:rRNA from 1 species
GUCCAGACUCCUACGGGAGGCAGCAGUGGGGAAUAUUGCACAAUGGGGGGAACCUUGAUGCAGCAACGCCGCGUGGGUGAAGAAGUGCUCCGGUAUGUAAAGCCCUGUCAGCAGGGAAGAAAAUGACGGUACCUGACCAAGAAGCCCCGGCUAACUACGUGCCAGCAGCUGCGGUAAUACGUAGGGGGCAAGCGUUAUCCGGAUUUACUGGGUGUAAAGGGAGCGUAGACGGCAGUGCAAGUCUGGAGUGAAAGGCGGGGGCUCAACCCCCGGACUGCUCUGGAAACUGUACGGCUGGAGUGCAGGAGAGGUAAGUGGAAUUCCUAGUGUAGCGGUGAAAUGCGUAGAUAUUAGGAGGAACACCAGUGGCGAAGGCGGCUUACUGGACUGUAACUGACGUUGAGGCUCGAAAGCGUGGGGAGCAAACAGGAUUAGAUCCCCCGGUA